UUGCUUUGGCAGUGUAUAUUCUAAAAUUGGGGAUGAUAUUGAGAAAAUUAGCAUGGCCCCUGUGUAAAGAUGACAUAAAAAUUUUGUGAAGUAUUUUAUAUUAAC
rfam:Erinaceus europaeus unplaced genomic scaffold scaffold01070, whole genome shotgun sequence